rnacentral:rRNA from 1 species
AGUGGCGGACGGGUGAGUAACGCGUAAGAAUCUAACUUCAGGACGGGGACAACAGUGGGAAACGACUGCUAAUACCCGAUGUGCCGCAAGGUGAAACCUAAUUGGCCUGAAGAAGAGCUUGCGUCUGAUUAGCUAGUUGGUGGGGUAAGAGCCUACCAAGGCGACGAUCAGUAGCUGGUCUGAGAGGAUGAGCAGCCACACUGGGACUGAGACACGGCCCAGACUCCUACGGGGGGCAGCAGUGGGGAAUUUUCCGCAAUGGGCGAAAGCCUGACGGAGCGACGCCGCGUGAGGGAGGAAGGUCUUUGGAUUGUAAACCUCUUUUCUCAAGGAAGAAGUUCUGACGGUACUUGAGGAAUCAGCCUCGGCUAACUCCGUGCCAGCAGCCGCGGUAAUACGGGGGAGGCAAGCGUUAUCCGGAAUUAUUGGGCGUAAAGCGUCCGCAGGUGGUCAGCCAAGUCUGCUGUCAAAUCAGGUUGCUUAACGACCUAAAGGCGGUGGAAACUGGCAGACUAGAGAUCAGUAGGGGUAGCAGGAAUUCCCAGUGUAGCGGUGAAAUGCGUAGAGAUUGGGAAGAACAUCGGUGGCGAAAGCGUGCUACUGGGCUGUAUCUGACACUCAGGGACGAAAGCUAGGGGAGCGAAAGGGAUUAGAUACCCCUGUAGUCCUAGCCGUAAACGAUGGAUACUAGG